rnacentral:rRNA from 1 species
UACGAAGGGGGCUAGCGUUGUUCGGAUUUACUGGGCGUAAAGCGCACGUAGGCGGAUCGUUAAGUCGGGGGUGAAAUCCUGGAGCUCAACUCCAGAACUGCCUUCGAUACUGGCGAUCUUGAGUCCGGAAAGAGGUGAGUGGAACUCCUAGUGUAGAGGUGGAAUUCGUAGAUAUUCGGAAGAACACCAGUGGCGAAGGCGGCUCACUGGUCCGGUACUGACGCUGAGGUGCGAAAGCGUGGGGAGCAAACAGG